ACAGUUCUGUGUCCUUGAUUUAUACAAUAUGCGAUGGACACCCUUGGAAGGGUGUGAGAGUAGGAAUGGUUUUCCAGAGGGAAAAAUUGCAGACUACAGGAACCAUUUACACUACCCUGGUGAUCCUGAGGACACAGAUAAACCUCCAAGUGGCCUCAACGACCCUUUAAAAUGAUGCAAAUGACCAACUGUCUGCAAGGA